rnacentral:misc_RNA from 2 species
CUGAGUGAGGGUCUUCCGACCCGACCUCCAACCCCAUGUAUUCCGACUCUGUUGCCUCGGGGGCGACCCUGCCUUCGGGCGUUGGGGCCCCCGGUGGACCACACAACUCUGCAUCUUUGCGUCUGAGUAACAUUUUGAAUUAAAUCA